rnacentral:lncRNA from 1 species
GUGGUAACUUGGUGUCAUGAUGUCUUGGUUGCUGGGUGCAGAUCAACAAGCUGACAGUGAAAGGGGAUCCCAGAGGAUCGAAGAGGAUCUGCCUCUGCCAUUUGCAGCUGCUUUGCUGCCCAGACCUCCUCGAGAGACCCCGGCCAUCUCCCAAACCAGCCUUUCUGACCUUCUCUGUCUCGUCAGGGUGAAAAGGUUACGGUCAAGAAGUGAUUUGUUAAUUAAUUGGUGCUGCCUCCUGGGACACAGGGAAUGGAGCCCUCAUUCUGUUAUCACAAUGCCUGGUAGGUGUUAUUGUUCUCUGCUGUGCUGCUGUGAUUGACGUGCAGUUACAGCACUUCAUUUCACCUCUGUCAGUCUCCUUUGAUACUACAUAGAGGGCACGAGCUUUCCCAUCCCCUGCUCUGCCCUCCUGUACAACAGGAGCCACUGAACUCCAUCUCAUGGCUCUUGAAAUAAACCCAAAAGGUUUGUCUUGGGUUACCGUAUG